rnacentral:rRNA from 1 species
GAUGAACGCUGGCGGCGUGCCUAAUACAUGCAAGUCGAGCGAACGGACGAGAAGCUUGCUUCUCUGAUGUUAGCGGCGGACGGGUGAGUAACACGUGGAUAACCUACCUAUAAGACUGGGAUAACUUCGGGAAACCGGAGCUAAUACCGGAGAAUAUUUUGAACCGCAUGGUUCAAAAGUGAAAGACGGUCUUGCUGUCACUUAUAGAUGGAUCCGGGCUGCAUUAGCUAGUUGGUAAGGUAACGGCUUACCAAGGCAACGAUGCAUAGCCGACCUGAGAGGGUGAUCGGCCACACUGGAAGUGGGACACGGUCCAGGCUCCUACGGGAGGCAGCAGUAGGGAAUCUUCCGCAAUGGGCGAAAGCCUGACGGAGCAACGCCGCGUGAGUGAUGAAGGUCUUCGGAUCGUAAAACUCUGUUAUUAGGGAAGAACAUAUGUGUAAGUAACUGUGCACAUCUUGACGGUACCUAAUCAGAAAGCCACGGCUAACUACGUG